rnacentral:rRNA from 1 species
AGUGAACGCUGGCGGUAGGCCUAACACAUGCAAGUCGAACGGCAGCACAGUAAGAGCUUGCUCUUACGGGUGGCGAGUGGCGGACGGGUGAGGAAUACAUCGGAAUCUACUUUUUCGUGGGGGAUAACGUAGGGAAACUUACGCUAAUACCGCAUACGACCUACGGGUGAAAGCAGGGGAUCUUCUGACCUUGCGCGAUUGAAUGAGCCGAUGUCGUAUUAGCUAGUUGGCGGGGUAAAGGCCCACCAAGGCGACGAUCCGUAGCUGGUCUGAGAGGAUGAUCAGCCACACUGGAACUGAGACACGGUCCAGACUCCUACGGGAGGCAGCAGUGGGGAAUAUUGGACAAUGGGCGCAAGCCUGAUCCAGCCAUACCGCGUGGGUGAAGAAGGCCUUCGGGUUGUAAAGCCCUUUUGUUGGGAAAGAAAAGCAGCAGGUUAAUACCCCGCUGUUCUGACGGUACCCAAAGAAUAAGCACCGGCUAACUUCGUG